UAUAAUUUAAAGUAGGGCCUGCCCACUGAAUAUUUUAAAGGGCCGCAGUAUUUUGACUGUGCAAAGGUAGCAUAAUCAUUAGUUUUUUAAUUGAAAGCUUGUAUGAAUGGUUUGAUGAAAAAAUAACUUUCUUUAUUUUAACUUUUAAAAAUUUUAUUUUUAAGUUAAAAAGCUUAAAUUUUUUUAAUAGACGAGAAGACCCUAUAGAGUUUUAUUUAUUUAAGAAUUUUAAAUUUUUAGAAUUUAAUAAUUUUAAAUUUUAAAUAAAUUUGGUUGGGGUGAUUAAAAAAUUUAAUAAACUUUUUUUUUAUAAUAACAUUAAUUUAUG
rnacentral:rRNA from 1 species